GAAUAGACCAGGAACUAGGUUGCUAUGGCUUUUCACAGCCCUUAUGUUCUCUCUAGUCAUGGCUGCAGGUAGGUAUCUUUAGUCUUGGGACAGGGAGUAGAGAAGCUAGGUCAAGUUCACAGUAUAUUAUAGUUUCAGAAAGGAAAAAAAAAAGAUUCUUGAUUGUCAACGUAUCUGCAUUUGGAGUUGAGUGAUUUUGGCCACAGACCCUAGCUGAAGACAGAGAAGCCACACAUUUUCAUUCCAGUCCAGUCACCCACUGGCAGGUUCACUGAAGAGUUAAGUGUUCUGAGCAAAAGCAGCCUUGCAGAUCCUGGAAAGUAACGUGGGCUAAUGGGGUCAUAACCAUCCGAUGUGCCAUCCCUGCGAAGCCAGGGGGAGAUCAAGAAGUAUUCUAAGCUACACAGUAAAAGCAAAUGCUCACUGUUGGGAUAUUGUAUCAACUGGCUAUGAAGAAACCCUCAGAGGGCGUCAGCUUGCCUGUACACCGUGGGCGAGCAGAAAGUAUGCAGACACCUGCAGCCGGCUCAUGGGCGGAGCCUGCUAAUGAGCAUCUCCUGCUGACUGACUAGGAGGGAGGUGCUCACUCCAGGCCUCUGGCCAGGAGCCUUCUCUUUGAGGCUUGUCAGAGAGCCAGUGCCACGGGCUUCAGGUUCACCUCAAUGGAAACAGACACCGGAGCCACAACCCAGGCCACGCAUCUCUCGAAA
rnacentral:lncRNA from 1 species